rnacentral:rRNA from 1 species
GCGAGUGAAGCGGCAACAGCUCAAAUUUGAAAUCUGGCUUCGGCCCGAGUUGUAAUUUGUAGAGGAUGCUUUUGGUGAGGUGCCUUCUGAGUUCCCUGGAACGGGACGCCAGAGAGGGUGAGAGCCCCGUAUAGUCGGCCACCGAUCCUCUGUAAAGCUCCUUCGACGAGUCGAGUAGUUUGGGAAUGCUGCUCAAAAUGGGAGGUAUAUCUCUUCUAAAGCUAAAUAUUGGCCAGAGACCGAUAGCGCACAAGUAGAGUGAUCGAAAGAUGAAAAGCACUUUGAAAAGAGGGUUAAAUAGCACGUGAAAUUGUUGAAAGGGAAGCGCUUGUGACCAGACUUGUGCCGGGCUGAUCAUCCAGUGUUCUCACUGGUGCACUCGACCCGGCUCAGGCCAGCGUCGGUUCUCGUAGGGGGAUAAAAGCUUCGGGAACGUGGCACCUUCGGGUGUGUUAUAGCCCGUUGCUUAAUACCCUUGUGGGGACCGAGGUUCGCGCUCUGCAAGGACGCUGGCAUAAUGGUCAUCAGCGACCCGUCUUGAAACA